rnacentral:pre_miRNA from 1 species
AAUCUAGUGGAAACAUUUUUGCAUUAGACUACUGAAACCAAUACACAGAAGUGCUUCUGCUACAUU